rnacentral:rRNA from 1 species
UUUAAAGAGAGUUUGAUCCUGGCUCAGGACGAACGCUGGCGGCGUGCCUAAUACAUGCAAGUCGAACGAACGGAGGAAGAGCUUGCUCUUCCAAAGUUAGUGGCGGACGGGUGAGUAACACGUGGGCAACCUGCCUGUAAGUUGGGGAUAACUCCGGGAAACCGGGGCUAAUACCGAAUGAUAAAGUGUGGCGCAUGCCACGCUUUUGAAAGAUGGUUUCGGCUAUCGCUUA